AUUGAACGCUGGCGGCAGGCCUAACACAUGCAAGUCGAACGGUAACGGGCCUUCGGGUGCCGACGAGUGGCGAACGGGUGAGUAAUGUAUCGGAACGUACCUUUCAGUGGGGGAUAACGUAGCGAAAGUUACGCUAAUACCGCAUAUUCUGUGAGCAGGACAGCAGGGGAUCGCAAGACCUUGCGCUGAUUGAGCGGCCGAUAUCAGAUUAGCUAGUUGGUGGGGUAAAGGCCUACCAAGGCGACGAUCUGUAGCGGGUCUGAGAGGAUGAUCCGCCACACUGGAACUGAGACACGGUCCAGACUCCUACGGGAGGCAGCAGUGGGGAAUUUUGGACAAUGGGGGCAACCCUGAUCCAGCCAUGCCGCGUGAGUGAAGAAGGCCUUCGGGUUGUAAAGCUCUUUCGGCCGGGAAGAAAUCGUACGGGCUAAUACCCUGUGCGGAUGACGGUACCGGCAUAAGAAGCACCGGCUAACUACGUGCCAGCCGCCGCCGUAA
rnacentral:rRNA from 1 species